rnacentral:rRNA from 1 species
UGGGAAUUUUGGACAAUGGGCGAAAGCCUGAUCCAGCAAUGCCGCGUGUGUGAAGAAGGCCUUCGGGUUGUAAGCACUUUUUGUCCGGAAAGAAAUCCUUGGCUCUAAUACAGUCGGGGGAUGACGGUACCGGAAGAAUAAGCACCGGCUAACUACGUGCCAGCAGCCGCGGUAAUACGUAGGGUGCAAGCGUUAAUCGGAAUUACUGGGCGUAAAGCGUGCGCAGGCGGUUUGCUAAGACCGAUGUGAAAUCCCCGGGCUCAACCUGGGAACUGCAUUGGUGACUGGCAGGCUAGAGUAUGGCAGUAGGGGGGUAGAAUUCCACGUGUAGCAGUGAAAUGCGUAGAGAUGUGGAGGAAUACCGAUGGCGAAGGCAGCCCCCUGGGCCAAUACUGACGCUCAUGCACGAAAGCGUGGGGAGCAAACAGGAUUAGAUACCCUGGUAGUCCACGCCCUAAACGAUGUCAACUAGUUGUUGGGGGACUUCAUUUCCUUAGUAACGUAGCUAACGCGUGAAGUUGACCGCCUGGGGAGUACGGUCGCAAGAUUAAAACUCAAAGGAAUUGAC